AGGAAUGCUUAGGAAUCUGCCUAUUAGUGGGGGACAACAUUCCGAAAGGAAUGCUAAUACCGCAUACGUCCUACGGGAGAAAGCAGGGGAUCUUCGGACCUUGCGCUAAUAGAUGAGCCUAAGUCGGAUUAGCUAGUUGGUGGGGUAAAGGCCUACCAAGGCGACGAUCUGUAGCGGGUCUGAGAGGAUGAUCCGCCACACUGGGACUGAGACACGGCCCAGACUCCUACGGGAGGCAGCAGUGGGGAAUAUUGGACAAUGGGGGGAACCCUGAUCCAGCCAUGCCGCGUGUGUGAAGAAGGCCUUAUGGUUGUAAAGCACUUUAAGCGAGGAGGAGGCUACUGAGACUAAUACUCUUGGAUAGUGGACGUUACUCGCAGAAUAAGCACCGGCUAACUCUGUGCCAGCAGCCGCGGUAAUACAGAGGGUGCGAGCGUUAAUCGGAUUUACUGGGCGUAAAGCGUGCGUAGGCGGCUUUUUAAGUCGGAUGUGAAAUCCCCGAGCUUAACUUGGGAAUUGCAUUCGAUACUGGGAAGCUAGAGUAUGGGAGAGGAUGGUAGAAUUCCAGGUGUAGCGGUGAAAUGCGUAGAGAUCUGGAGGAAUACCGAUGGCGAAGGCAGCCAUCUGGCCUAAUACUGACGCUGAGGUACGAAAGCAUG
rnacentral:rRNA from 1 species